UACGGGGGGAGCAAGCGUUGUUCGGAUUUACUGGGCGUAAAGGGCGCGUAGGCGGCCACGACAAGUCAGCUGUGAAAUCUCCGGGCUUAACCCGGAACGGUCAGCUGAUACUGUCGGGCUAGAGUGCAGAAGGGGCAACUGGAAUUCUCGGUGUAGCGGUGAAAUGCGUAGAUAUCGAGAGGAACCCCUGCGGCGAAGGCCGGUUGCCUGGACGGUACUGACGGUGAGGCGCGAAAGGGUGGGGAGCAAACAGG
rnacentral:rRNA from 1 species